rnacentral:rRNA from 1 species
AUUGAACGCUGGCGGCAUGCUUUACACAUGCAAGUCGAACGGCAGCACGGACUUCGGUCUGGAGGCGAGUGGCGAACGGGUGAGUAAUACAUCGGAACGUGCCCAGUUGUGGGGGAUAACUACUCGAAAGAGUAGCUAAUACCGCAUGAGAACUGAGGUUGAAAGCAGGGGAUCGUAAGACCUUGCGCAACUGGAGCGGCCGAUGGCAGAUUAGGUAGUGUGUGGGAUAAAAGCUUACCAAGCCGACGAUCUGUAACUGGUCUGAGAGGACGACCAGCCACACUGGGACUGAGACACGGCACCGACUCCUACGGGAGGCAGCAGUGGGGAAUUUUGGACAAUGUGCGAAAGCCUGAUCCAGCAAUGCCGCGUGCAGGAUGAAGGCCUUCGGGUUGUAAACUGCUUUUGUACGGAACGAAAAGCUUCGGGUUAAUACCCUGGAGUCAUGACGGUACCGUAAGAAUAAGCACCGGCUAACUACGUGCCAGCAGCCGCGGUAAUAC